UACGUAGGGUGCGAGCGUUGUUCGGAAUCAUUGGGCGUAAAGCGAGAGUAGGUGGUUUGCUAAGUCGGGUGUGAAAUCCCUGGGCUCAACCCAGGAAGUGCAUUCGAAACUAGCUGGCUAGAAGAUGGUAGAGGAAGGUGGAAUUCCAAGUGUAGAGGUGAAAUUCGUAGAUAUUCGCAAGAACACCAGUGGCGAAGGCGGCUCACUGGCCCGAUACUGACGCUGAGGUGCGAAAGCGUGGGGAGCAAACAGG
rnacentral:rRNA from 1 species